CGUGAAUACCUUUUUCUAAAUUCUAUACAUUUCGCAUUAAUAAUAACAUAAUAAAUACAAAAUUCGUGUGUUGACAAAGACUGGUAUAAUUAAAAAAAAAAAAAGGAAAAGAAAAACUCUCUAGUGGCAAACAGCUAAUGUCCUCGUUCAAUGCUUCCAACUGGCAGGCGCUCGGCACCCGCCUCCUCUUCCUCAACCCCCCACGCUCGAUCUCCUCUCGAUUCUCAACAAAGUAAAAUAAAACUGGGAUUCUUUCAUUCAGGACUGAUAUACGCAAUUCAUAACGGUAUGUAUUUCUUUCUUAUUUGUUCUCCAAUAAUAAUAAUUAUUUUCUCAAUUAUAUAGAAUUUGAUGGGUUCUUUUAAUUUUUCAUUUUAUUUUUCUCAUUUUUACUUUUAUUUUUGUUAUUUUUCUCAGAUUGUUGGUGCAUGAAAAGUUAGACUUGUGGUUCAUUCAUUCAUUUUUUAUUUAUUACAACCUGUUUGCACUUCUGCUAUGCUAUACAUAGUUUUGUCAAAAACAAACACUGCUGCUUGUUGAAAUUAAUUUUCGAUAUGUUGAUAAGAAUUACUAGGCCUCAGUUAAUAAGUUAAAUCUGGUUAUGCGUUUAUAAAGGCCUGGCACCAUGAUCAAGAUUUGAUUAGAAUGAUUAGUUGAUUGCUUAAUUUGAUUGGUAGAUCUUACAUUCGUAUGUUCUCAAAGAAAAUGUAAAUGGGCUGUAUUUUACAUUUACUAGUUGUUUGGAUUGCAGUGGGUGUCUUCAGCAUAACCUCUCGAAUAUCAUAACGUACAGGGUGGUAGUGAAACUGCAAAGGAAUUCGGUGAUUUCUCCAGUUGUUGAAAAGUCUAGCAUGGCUGUGGAAACGUCAACAAACAGGCCAGUGCUUGCUCCUAGUAUUUUGCAUAGGAAUUGUCUUUGAUUACCUUGAGUUUUCCUAUCAUAUAAUCAGGUGAAUGCUAGAAAUCUUACUUUUGUUGAACAUGUGCUAACUCUUACAGAGCCUGUGUCUUUGUUUAUGUCUUUAGUAAUAUUGAAAAUUGGGAGCUAUCCAGGUUCUGAUCAAAGAAAUUACAAGCCUAUAAAACUGUCUCUGAUGGGAGCUUUGGAGGGAUUGUGCCAAGUAAUCGACCAAAUCAAUGUCAAGAUAGUAUUAUAGGAAUGUCAAAAUCCUAGUGGGUACAUUAUAUCAAUCUUUAUACUACGAGGAGUGAAAUAUAACAUGUGAAGCAGCAUUCUUUAAAAAUCAAGAGCAUAUUCUAUGAAAGGAACAGUGGUUUUCCGAGCAUAUGAUUUCUUUUAGUUAAUAUCUUCUCACAAAAUGGUAAGAUGUAUAAGAGAAUGUCUGUUGAUGCUACCAAAAAUCUGAACUUGUGAAAUCUCGACCUUAACGAUUGAAGAUGACCGUGAAUGGGAUCUCCAAUACUUGACAAAGGUGUUUAGGUAUGACCUUGUCGCCUCUCCGAUUCUCAAGUUAACGAGAAGAUAAUUUAUGCGAAAGGUUAUAAAUGUGCCUUAAUAAUGAGUUGAGGACUUGUAUCCAUAGAGGUGGACGAGGCAGUCCUGGUAGGAUUGGAUUAUGAAUGUAUUAUUAUUUAGGAGUCAUGGAUUUCAUUUAAGUCCUACAAGGAUAGGAUAAUAAAAUCCUAUUAAGACUAUACGUUUUCGAAGUUGGAUAGGCUUGAAUUCAUGGAAGUAGUCCUAUUAGGUUAGAUGUCAUUAGUUAGAGAUAAAACUAAGGUAAUUAUCCGAGGUCACAUCAAACCACUAUGUGGUCUGUAUACUCGAGGAGGUUGAAUCCCGAGGAGGUACGGGGAGAAUCCUCCUAAAUCAACCGAAAACAAGGUCGGGCAUUGGGUCCUCGGGCUGAGGUCCUUGAGGAAUUUUCCAUUAGGUCAAAUGAUUAGGUUGGGAAAUAGGCUAUGAGGGGAUAGCCAGAGGACACCAAUGUUCGUAAUAUAAAAUGGUGCCCGACCCUUCUUGAGCCUGAGCAUAACUCCAUUGAGCCACAAUAAUGGUAACUCCAGUGCUCCAGCACGAUAGGUUGAGCUAUACAAGAUUUGGUCAUAUCAUCUGUAAAUAUAUAAAAUUUUCAUAAAAUUAUAUAUGGUACAUUAUACAAGAUUCAAGGUUCAAUAUUAGGAAGAGGAAAUUCUAAAAUCAGGUGUAAGUUCUCUGAACAUUCUGAAAGCAGAAAAGACGGUUGGAGUCAGUCUUUUGAAUUUGAAACCAUGGAAUUUGCCAUGCAGAAUCUUUGAGGCAUUGAAUUGUAGACGAUAAUCCUGUGGAUGCGUGGGCCUCAGAAAUUUUGGUUUGCUAGAAGAAAUUUCAAAAGCGUAGCUAAACUCUAAGCGGACUUUCUAGGAGUCAUUCCUUGCCAUUCUCUGCUAGGGUUUCUCGAUCUCCUUACAGUAGGACACAAGAAUAUUUAACGACGAUGUUGGAGACUUUUGAGUAAAAAAAAAAAAAAAAGAUGGUAAUGUGGAAUUCUUGUAGUCACACCGGUGUUGAUGCAAGAUCC
rnacentral:lncRNA from 1 species